rnacentral:rRNA from 1 species
AACGUAGGUGGCAAGCGUUAUCCGGAUUUACUGGGCGUAAAGCGUGUGCAGGCGGGUGGACAAGUGGUGUAUGAAAUCGCCAGGCUAAACCUGGCGGGGUUAUGCCAGACUGUCCGUCUGGAGUGCGAGAGAGGGGCGUGGAAUUCCGGUGUAGUGGUGAAAUGCGUAGAGAUCCGGAGGAACCCCAGAGGCGAAGGCGGCGCCCUGGCUCGCAACUGACGCUCAGACACGACAGCAUGGGGAGCGAACGGG